CAGAAUGAUACAUAGUUAGUAGAGGAAAAUUAGAAGAAGAAAGGAAAUAAGAAUUGUGGAUCGCAAAACCAGAAUCAGAAUUUAGUUCAAUUAUUUAUCAGGAAUAAGAGAUUAGUGAAGUUUUUGGUUGACGUUGGUCGUAGGAACUCCACAUGUUAUCAGGGUCGGCGGCUGACACGUUUUGGCAACCUUCUCCUCCUCAUCAUUUUUGCAUAUAAAUAAAUGUGUAGUAUAUAGAGUGGUGAGAGGGUACCACUACGGUUUAGAAUGUUUUGAAACAUGUACUUGUUAAAUAUUGGUUUUUGAAAUUAUAUAAAAUGUGCAUUUCAUUUA